rnacentral:rRNA from 1 species
GACGAACCGUGCAAACGUUAUUCGGAAUCACUGGGCUUAAAGGGCGCGUAGGCGGGUCAGAUAGUCUGCGGUGAAAUCCUCCAGCUUAACUGGAGAACUGCCGUGGAUACUGCUGACCUCGAGGAGGGUAGGGGCAUCUGGAACAGCCGGUGGAGCGGUGAAAUGCGUUGAUAUCGGCUGGAACUCCGGUGGCGAAGGCGAGAUGCUGGACCCUUUGACGCUGAGGCGCGAAAGCCAGGGGAGCGAACGGG